rnacentral:rRNA from 1 species
CCCUACGGGGCGCAGCAGGCGCGAAAACUUUACAAUGCGGGAAACCGUGAUAAGGGGACACCGAGUGCCAGCAUCAUAUGCUGGCUGUCCAGAUGUGUAAAAUACAUCUGUUAGCAAGGGCCGGGCAAGACCGGUGCCAGCCGCCGCGGUAACACCGGCGGCCCGAGUGGUGAUCGUGAUUAUUGGGUCUAAAGGGUCCGUAGCCGGUUUGGUCAGUCCUCCGGGAAAUCUGAUGGCUCAACCAUUAGGCUUUCGGGGGAUACUGCCAGGCUUGGAACCGGGAGAGGUAAGAGGUACUACAGGGGUAGGAGUGAAAUCUUGUAAUCCCUGUGAGACCACCUGUGGCGAAGGCGUCUUACCAGAACGGGUUCGACGGUGAGGGACGAAAGCUGGGGGCACGAACCGGAUUAGAUACCCGGGUAGUCCCAGCCGUAAACGAUGCUCGCUAGGUGUCAGGCAUGGCGCGACCGUGUCUGGUGCCGCAGGGAAGCCGUGAAGCGAGCCACCUGGGAAGUACGGCCGCAAGGCUGAAACUUAAAGGAAUUGGCGGGGGAGCACAACAACGGAUGGAGCCUGCGGUUUAAUUGGACUCAACGCCGGACAACUCACCGGGGACGACAGCAAUA